rnacentral:rRNA from 1 species
UACAGAGACUGCAAGCGUUAUUCGGAUUCACUGGGCGUAAAGGGUGCGCAGGCGGCCGAGUGUGUCAGAUGUGAAAUCCCGAGGCUUAACCUCGGAACUGCGUCUGAAACUACUUGGCUAGAGUAUUGGAGAGGGUAACGGAAUUCACGGUGUAGCAGUGAAAUGCGUAGAUAUCGUGAGGAACACCAGAGGCGAAGGCGGUUACCUGGACAAUUACUGACGCUCAGGCACGAAAGCGUGGGGAGCAAAA